rnacentral:rRNA from 1 species
GAUGAACGCUGGCGGCGUGCCUAAUACAUGCAAGUCGAGCGAAUGGAUUAAGAGCUUGCUCUUAUGAAGUCAGCGGCGGACGGGUGAGUAACACGUGGGUAACCUGCCCAUAAGACUGGGAUAACUCCGGGAAACCGGGGCUAAUACCGGAUAACAUUUUGAACCGCAUGGUUCGAAAUUGAAAGGCGGCUCCGGCUGUCACUUAUGGAUGGACCCGCGUCGAAUUAGCUAGUUGGUGAGGUAACGGCUCACCAAGGCAACGAUGCGUAGCCGACCUGAGAGGGUGAUCGGCCACACUGGGACUGAGACACGGCCCAGACUCCUACGGGAGGCAGCAGUAGGGAAUCUUCCGCAAUGGACGAAAGUCUGACGGAGCAACGCCGCGUGAGUGAUGAAGGCUUUCGGGUCGUAAAACUCUGUUGUUAGGGAAGAACAAGUGCUAGUUGAAUAAGCUGGCACCUUGACGGUACCUAACCAGAAAGCCACGGCUAACUACGUGCCAGCCGCCGCCGUAA